GUAUAACAUGUUAUUUCCUUACACUGAUUUGCAAUCAUUUUUCAAUAAUUUGUUAUUUUAUUUUUUCCAACUAUUAUAAAUAGGCUAUUUCACUGUAAGGAGAUAUCGUUUGGGGACGCAGUCGCAGUGUCCCUACUACUUACGUCCAAAAAACACCCAAAAGGUACAGCUCUGCCAUCCUUUUUUACUUGAAGACAUCUGGGCAUUUUCGACCCUUGUCUGACUUCAUCACUGAUAACGUUGUUUGUACAAGCUCUCAAUGUUCCCGUUUAUCGCACUCAUCGAGGUCGCAUGGUUGCGGUAUGUAUGGUAUCUGAUACACCAGCGUGAAAAUAAUUCCUUGAUAGUUUUUUUCCAGUUGGUGCUGUUAAAAUCUUAGGUGGGGUUUUCACUGUUUUCAGUACCCCUAAUGUAUAUUUAUUCGAUAUCGUAACGUGACGUACGCGUUUGCGUUGUCUCAUUUUGUAUGGGAUUUUGAGUUUCCAAAACGUCCCGCUUGGUGCUCUGUUUCAAAAUCUCAUACAAAAUGAGUUCAAACGCAAACGCGUACCUCACGUCACGCUAUCGAAUAAAUUUACACUAGGGGGUUUUGGAAGUUUAACAAAACGAAGUUAAACUCAUGUUAUAUACGUACUGAAAGACACGUUCAAGAUGUCAUCAAAGAAUACAGUAAUAUAUAGGAACAGAAAGCCCUCUUGAAGCUAUUUAAGGAAACUAAUUUCGAAGCGCUAUCUCUAAUUUGUAUCCGAAACCUAGCUAUGUAUGUGCGCGUGCAUAUGCAUAUGUACUUUCGUAACAUAUAAUAUUAGGUCUACUUGGGCGGUUUACAAGUUAAUUUUUUGUUUGAUUUCUUGUAACUUUGAUAGUUUUUUUGUUUACAAGAUAUCAAACAAAAUACUAAAUUGUAAGCCGCCCAAGUAGACCUAAUAUUAUGUAGAAAAGUUUUAAAAGAAUGGAAUUCAAAAAAAGACAUACUUUAUAGUAAUGCAAGUAUAUGUUUAUUGCUUUCAAUUUGGUAUACAAGAUAGAAAUAGACUAUAUGUUUUAAGUAGGUACUUGCAGCUUCUGAUUCUGUUUGGAAUUGUUCCUCUCUUUACCUGUGAAACACAAUUUUUUUCACUACAGUAAGGAACUAAAGGGAUCGUAAAAUAUCAAACAAAAUCAAACCAAAUCUAAUCUAAGUGAACGUUAAUAAUUAUUUAUCAUUCAAAAAUCGACAUUUGAAAGUCAAUUCUAUUGGCAAACUUAUAUGAAACAACUCAAAAUUUGCAUCAGAUUACUUUGCCUCACAUAUGGAUAAAUUGCAACUUUCUUAUCAGUUUUUUAACAAUCAAGACAGCCUUUACCAGCAGCUGAUGUGGUGAAAAAAAAAAAUGUUUGCGAAGUUUGCGAUGAAGUAAUAUUCUGUUAAAAUAAUGUCACUCAACAUAUUCCAAAAUAAGAACGUGCAUAUGGAAACAACAUCUACUUACUAGUAGACUAGCAGUUAGAUACACCUUCGAGCAGCGCAAUGUGCGACGGCUACUAGACGUGUAAAUGUAGGAAUAUAGCUAAGUGCGCAUAGCUUGAUAUGGGCGCCAGACUUUCACACAAGCAAAACGAGUAAAAUAAGUAAUUUGGUUCCAGGGAAAAGCGAGACAAAGUGGGCGUGGCACUAACAAGGCGGAACAUUUUUCUCGCUGACUCCGCCCAGUGAAAACUUCCCGCCCCACGCGCCAUCACGACUGUUUGUAACGUAAUCCCGCAGAGUAGAGAGGCAAAUGAAAGAAAAAAGCAGUUCAAAGUCAACUCUAGCUACCACCCGCUAUCUCCGGUUACCCGUGAACAAGAUGCAUUUAACUGCGUCGAAAUAUCGGGAGCUCAAAAGCAAUAUAAAAGGCCAUGGCGCGCGGCGGGGGCGGCCACGCACUAAUUACGCCGUCACGUGUCACACAGGCAAAACACCGCCGAGGUAGGCCUGCGC